GCGCUCGUAGCUCAAUUGGAUAGAGCACUUGGCUUCGAACCAAGGGGUUGUGGGUUCAAGUCCUGCCGAGCGCA
rnacentral:tRNA from 1 species